GGUUGCGAUCAUACCAGCACUAAUGCACCGGAUCCCAUCAGAACUCCGCAGUUAAGCGUGCUUGGGCGAGAGUAGUACUAGGAUGGUGACCCCCCUGGGAAGUCCUCGUGUUGCAACCC
rnacentral:rRNA from 1 species